UGGGGAAUUUUGGACAAUGGGGGAAACCCUGAUCCAGCCAUCCCGCGUGUGCGAUGAAGGCCUUCGGGUUGUAAAGCACUUUUGGCAGGAAAGAAACGUCGCGGGUUAAUACCCCGCGAAACUGACGGUACCUGCAGAAUAAGCACCGGCUAACUACGUGCCAGCAGCCGCGGUAAUACGUAGGGUGCAAGCGUUAAUCGGAAUUACUGGGCGUAAAGCGUGCGCAGGCGGUUCGGAAAGAAAGAUGUGAAAUCCCAGAGCUUAACUUUGGAACUGCAUUUUUAACUACCGGGCUAGAGUGUGUCAGAGGGAGGUGGAAUUCCGCGUGUAGCAGUGAAAUGCGUAGAUAUGCGGAGGAACACCGAUGGCGAAGGCAGCCUCCUGGGAUAACACUGACGCUCAUGCACGAAAGCGUGGGGAGCAAACAGGAUUAGAUACCCUGGUAGUCCACGCCCUAAACGAUGUCAACUAGCUGUUGGGGCCUUCGGGCCUUGGUAGCGCAGCUAACGCGUGAAGUUGACCGCCUGGGGAGUACGGUCGCAAGAUUAAAAACUCAAAGGAAUUGACGGGGUCGAUAGC
rnacentral:rRNA from 1 species